GGCGCGCUGCGAUAUUAUCACGAGCAGCUCUGGCGGAGGAGACCUGCAGAUAAGGAAUCAGAAGGCAGACGCCGUCUUUCCCUUCACGGUGAGGGGUGCAGGCCCACAAGGCCGGGGGCGUGUCGUGGGCAUUAACGACAAGGAGGGCUGGAAUCCGUUCUCCCAGCUCUGCUCCCCUCGCUGCCUCUCGCUGUCCCGAGGCCGGGCGUGCCCCCUCGGUCCCCGCGUCCUGGUCCACACCAGUCCCCUGGAGGGGCUCUGCGCACUGCGGAGACUCGCGGUGAGCGCUGCAGACCCAGCAAGGGCGGGGCGAGCGGAGGCGCCAGUGUGAGGACAGGCCGUUCCCUCCCUGGGAGUGGCCUCGCGGGCGGGCGCUGGCGGAAGGGCCGCCCUCCCGGUAGCUCCUGAGACCCGAGGUGAACCUCAGAACCCGGCAGUCGCCCGGGUGGACGGCCUGAGAGCACAGCCAGAUGACACCUGUGUCUCACGGCUCCCGAGACUCUUUUCUAGAUAGAACGAGUCUCGGUGACAUUCACGUGGUUGCUGCAUUUGGCAGACCAGAAGCUGGCAUUCAAAAUACCUCCCUUGCUAUCUAAGUGAAAGACUAGGAAGCCGGUCGGAGUCCCACCUCUGCCCUGGUCGCAGGGCCUGCAGGAGGGGGACGCGCAGCCACAGAAAGGUCAAAGGUCAUGCUCUCGGAGCACUUUGCUAGAAUAAUGGGCACUGAGAAGAAAGAGGAGCGGCCUGGCAGUUGGGAAAACAAGGAUGGCCUCCUUCAAGGAAAAACACACACAUGGCAUCACAGCCGGGUUAGCAGCGCCGUCAACACACCAACCGCCAGGAGACCUGUAUUUAACUCGAGGGGCCACGGGACGCACGCAUAAAAUCUCACUUGUUGAUGUUCUUAUUGCUACAGUUAACUCAAAACCAAUUUAAUUCUGAAAACGUGGGUGAAACGAGUGGAAGUCGAUACAUUUCAUUUUUCUAUUUAUGUUUACCUUUAAGUUACACUCAAAGUUUUCAUCCUAUUUUUGUAAUAAAACACUGUGGCCCCAAG